ACCUAUUUCAGUAUUUUACCACUCUCAGAGCUUGGAUCAUUCCUGUGGCUCCUCUGGCCCCUCUCCAGCAGGUCCAUGUGUGUCCUGUGCUGAGGACCCAGAGCUGGACCAGCACUGCAGGGGGGUCCCACCAGGGCAUUGUAGGGGGGCAGAAUGUCUUAGGAGGGUUAUCCUGGUUGCUUUGCUCAAACACACCAGGAGCAGAGCAUUUUCUUCUCUGAUUGAAGCAAAACACUUGCAGUGUUGGGCAGAAUUCACCCCCAGGAGAGAGUGAAGGUCGGUCACAGUCAAUCAUUCAAGACCACCCGCUCCAUGGCCACAGAGGGGCCAUGCACACCCAUGAAUGAGGCACACGUAGCCUCAAGAUUGAUCGCACUCAUAACCGUGGUCUUAUUUUGAAAUAACUGAUUAUGUUUUACUCCCCAGCAAGUCCUUGUUCAAAGGUGCUACAGCUCAUCUCAUUCUAUAGCUCGGCUCUUACACUUCCUCAUGAGGAGGAAUAUUUCUUAGAGCUGUGGCUCAGAAAGGACAUUUUUGGCAUAACCAGGCUUUUACUUUGGUAUUUAUUGUUUCUAGAUAUUUGUCAUUAAAGUCUCCUGCAAAGUGUGUCGGGGGGGUGCUUGGGUCGAGGUGCUGUGCUGUCUCCAUCUCCUCAGCUCAACAGGCUCCCUACUUUCUGCUGGAGAUCACGUCCCCACAGAGAGCCCAGGGGGAUGUUGCUCUGGUCCAAACAUGUGAUGGUGGAUGCGAGAAGACCUGUGUGUUGGGUUUGCGUGGCAAGGUUUUGGUAGCUGGUGGCUACGGGAGUGGCUUCUGUGAGAAGCUGCUAGAAGCUUCCCCCAUGUCUGAUAGAGCCAACGCCAGCCAGCUCCAGGAUGGACCCACCACUGGCCAAGGCUGAGACAUCAGUGAUGGUGGCAGCACCUCUGUGGCAACAUAUUUAAGAAGGGGAAAAAAAACAACCGACUGUGUAACAGCAGCCAGAGAGAGGACUGAGAAAAUGUGAGAAGAACAACUCUGCAGACACCAAAGUCGGUGAAGGAGGAGGAGGUUCUCCAGGUGUUGGAGCAGAAAUUCUCCUGCAGACUGUGGUGAAGACCAUGGUGAGGCCAACUGUGCUCUUGCAGUCCUUGGAGGUCCACAGUGGAGCAGAUCUCCGCCCGCAGCCCGUGGAAGUUCAUGGUGGAGCAGAUCUCCACCUGCAGCCCAUGGAGGUUCACGGUGGAGCAGAUCUCCACCUGCAGCCCAUGGAGAACCCUACGCUGGAGCAGGGGAGGAAUGUGAUGAGUUCUGUCCCUGAGGAGAAUGGAGCACUAGAGGCAAGGUCUGAUGAACUGAUCACAACCCCCGUUCCCCAUCUCUCUGUGCUGCUUGCGGGGAGGAGGUGGAGAAAUUUGGAGUGAAGUUGAGCCCAGGAAGAAGGGACGGGUUGGAGAAAGGUAUUUUAAGGUUUGGUUUUGUUUCUCCUUACUCUACUCUGAUUUGAUUGCCAAUAAAUGAAACUAAUAUCCGCAA